CUCCCUGCAAAGGAUUGCGGAGCAAGUCGUCCCAGAUCUGAGCAUCCCAAACAUCAUCCAACACCAGCAAGAACUUGUUCCCUCUCAGUAGACCCGCCACCAAGGGCUCCAGCAGACUCCUGCUCUGUUCUCUAUUAUAUUUUCCACCAGCACCUUCGAUGAUAUUUCCGAGAAGAUCCGUCUCGCUGAACUCUUGGGACACGCACACCCAGAUGGUGGUGCGGAAGCUGGCUUUGAUUUUACCAUCAUUGAACACCUUCUGAGCGAGGGUGGUCUUUCCGAUG
rnacentral:lncRNA from 1 species